rnacentral:rRNA from 1 species
GAGGAAUAUUGGUCAAUGGUCGAGAGACUGAACCAGCCAAAUCGCGUGAAGGAUGAAGGUAUUAUGUAUUGUAAACUUCUUUUGUCAGGGAAUAAAGUGCAUCACGUGUGAUGUUUUGUAUGUACCUGAAGAAUAAGGAUCGGCUAACUCCGUGCCAGCAGCCGCGGUAAUACGGAGGAUCCGAGCGUUAUCCGGAUUUAUUGGGUUUAAAGGGUGCGUAGGUGGAUUGAUAAGUCAGUGGUGAAAGUUUGCAGCUUAACUGUAAAAUUGCCGUUGAAACUGUCGGUCUUGAGUGCAAAUGAGGUAGGCGGAAUGCGUCGUGUAGCGGUGAAAUGCUUAGAUAUGACGCAGAACUCCGAUUGCGAAGGCAGCUUACUGGGAUGCAACUGACACUGAGGCACGAAAGCGUGGGUAUCAAAC